GACGAACGCUGGCGGCGUGCUUAACACAUGCAAGUCGAACGGAAAGGCCCUGCUUUUGUGGGGUGCUCGAGUGGCGAACGGGUGAGUAACACGUGAGUAACCUGCCCUUGACUUUGGGAUAACUUCAGGAAACUGGGGCUAAUACCGGAUAGGAGCUCCUGCUGCAUGGUGGGGGUUGGAAAGUUUCGGCGGUUGGGGAUGGACUCGCGGCUUAUCAGCUUGUUGGUGGGGUAGUGGCUUACCAAGGCUUUGACGGGUAGCCGGCCUGAGAGGGUGACCGGCGAAGUGGGGAAUGAGGGAAGGGGCGGAGGCGGCAGGGGGGCAUAGGGGGGGAGGGGUGGAGAGUGCGAGGGGGGUGGAGGCAGCGACGCCGGGGGAGGGGUGGGGGGCAUGGGGUGGGAAAACGGUUUCGCCUGUGACAUAGCGUGAGGGACGGUAGUGGGUAAAGAAGCACGGGCGAACUAGGUG
rnacentral:rRNA from 1 species